rnacentral:snRNA from 1 species
AGCUUUGCGCAGUGGCAGUAUCGUAGCCUAUGAGGUUUAUCCGAGGCGCGAUUAUUGCUAGUUGAAAACUUUACCCUGGCUCUG